UUCUCAACCCACCGUGAGCCGAAUUAUGCCACACGUUUUACAUGCAAUUAUAUCACUUACAUCACAGUACAUUACGUUUCCAAAUACCGCAGCGGAAAGGACAAAAAUUAUGACCGAUUUCUACAACAUCGCAGGAUUUCCAAGUGUAAUAGGGGCAGUUGACUGCACACAUGUUGCCCUGAAAGCUCCUACUGCUGAUGAAUUUGCAUUUGUAAAUAGAAAAGGUUAUCACUCCAUUAACGUGCAGGUAAUCUGUGAUGCACACUUGAUCCUGCUAAAUGUCGUUGCGAACAGGCCGGGAGGGACACACGAUUCCUUCAUUGUGCAGAACAGCAUCGUGGGACUUCGUCUUCAGCAAAGCGCUGCUGGAGAAGGCUGGCUUAUUGGUAAGUGUGUAACGAUUAGAUUACUUCGCAACACCAUCCAGUGUACUGUAUUUUAUGUUAAUCUACAUCAUUGCAGGGGAUCGAGGAUAUGCCCUUAAAUCCUGGCUGAUGACCCCAGUGGCAAACCCUGUAUCCCAAAAGGAGCUGAAUUACAACCGAGCACAUGAGCGCACAAGAAGCACAGUAGAACGUGCAAUAGGCUUGCUGAAGGCUCGAUGGCUGUGUCUGUCAGGCAGAGGAGGCAUAUUGCAAUACAAACCCGACAAGGUGUGCUAUAUCGUUAAAGCAUGCAGUGUGCUGCACAAUAUUGCCAUUAAAAACGGUAUACCACUGGAUGAGAUGCCAAUACAAGAAGAUCGCCACAUGGCAGAAGGUUUUGACCCCAUGCCAAAUGCUGUGGCCGUGCAACUAAGAGCAGGGAUAAUCGAACGGUUCUAAAUCUGUUUCACAAUAAGGAGUAAUUGUGAGAAAAUGAACCGCAUCAGUCAGGACUCGUGCCUCGAGACGCAUCGGACGUGCUGAAGUGGCAGGCGGAGCAGGACCUGGCAAAACUGGCAGAUCUAUAAAAUAAAUGUUACAUGAACAAUCCAAAUCAUUUGC